UAUGCAAGCAUGGUCUCAGGCCGAUAUGUUAGGAUCUCAGUCUACUUUCGUUGGUGCUUUGAUGACUUGUCUUGAUGAAAAAGAUGAAGAAAUGGAUGAAGAUGAUUCCACCAUAAUUGAUGAAUGAAUGAAAAUGAUGAACUAUAUAAUAAUGUUAUUUGUUUGGAGGCCUAGUGGCUAGUGGCCUACUGUUAUUUGUUUGGUGAACCAUGGAUGUUGAUUUCUAUUGUUUCACUUGUAUUGAACAUUUGAACUUUGGAGUGCUCCCUGUGUGGUGCUACUUUGUUUGUAA